CUGCCCAGCACGGGCAGCUUGCAGAGCCACGUUGGAACCCGAGGUGGCACCUCCCUGAGCCCCAGCUACUGCGCCUUCCCUGGGGCAGGCCCGGGAAGAGGAGGGGACACACAGGCCCUGUCCUCUGGGCCACCUCACACUGUACGGAAGUGCCAUUCUAAGCCAGAAAAUGCAGAGUGUCCGAUUCAAGACUAGGCAAAGGACUGGGGGUGUGGCUCAGGGGCCCAGCAGCUGGCCCAGCCUGGAGCCCUGGUUCCAUCCCAGCACCUCCCAGCACCGCUGGGGUCAAUCAGCAAAUAAAGUAAGAGCAGCAGGGAGGACGUGUGUCCCCCACUGGAUGAGCAAGGUCAGACCUCCUCCCAGCAUAAGCUCCUCCCUCGCUCCGCGUCUGUAAGAUGGCCCCUGGUGUUUGGGGGAGGCUCUGAAGGGCUGGAGGAGCGCAGGACGCAGCACAGCAGCCCAACACCCACCGGCUGCUUCUAGACAGAACUGGCCUCGCCUUCCUAAGGCCAUUUGGAGACUCCCAUCUCGGUUUCAGCCCAGAAACUCCAGAUCUGAGGAGGUAAGACACAGGGGCAUCUUGUCCUUCGCUCAGACAAAAAGUGGGAAUGUUCUGGAAGCCCACUAGGGAGGCAGCAAUGACGAGAUCGGGGCUGUCCCCGCUGCGUGGUGCCUCCCAGCGGCUCGGCCCCGCAGGUGGAGAUUUUGCCCGUCGAGGACAGUUGGGCCUGCCCCUCGGUUGGGUGGACAGCCGCCAGGCCCAGGGGGCCCAUUUCUGUGGCAUGGGAGGCCCAGAUCCGCUGGUGGCGUCUGUGCUGAGACGUGGUGAGGACGUCCCCAGCGCUUCCCCUCAGCGGGGACCUGAGGGCAGCCUCCCUUCCCUCCUCUCCCCUCAACUCUAAGCUGCGAAACUGAGAAUAAAACAGCGUCAAGACUUUUUAAAGCAUUUUCUUUUGUUUAAAGUUCAAACACAAUACAUGCUGGUGGGCAGCACGGGGUCCAGGUUUCUGGGUCUGGGAACAGGACGGGCCGGGAGCAGGAAGGAGCUGCGGGUCUCCACAGAGGGACAUCAGCAGGCGCAGGACACAGGAGAGGUCCUGGGCUUGGGGCACUGGCGGGGACAGUGGGAAGCAGGCUGAAGCAAGGCACGUGGUUAGAAGGCCAGGUGGGGGGUGGGCUGGUCCCCUGGGCCUUCUAGGGCCGCCCAAUUCACCAUCACGGGACCUAAGCAGAUGGCAUCACGUCAGGAAGGGGGCUCUCUGCUCCCAUCCCUGGGCUCUGGCCACCCCCGUCACUGCCAGGGACUGAGCAGUGACCAGGCGGGGCAGAAGCCAGCUCCCAGCAGCACGCGGUGGUCUAGUGCUGCACCACGGCACAUGUAGGGGGCUGAGGGAUGUCCCUACACCCCUGGCCUCUACCCACCCGAUGCCGGUAGUGGGCCCUGCCAGGGUGACAGCCAGAAAUGCCCCAGACAUUGCUAAAGGACCCCUGAGGGACAAAGUCUUCCCCACUUUGAAACCUCAGCUCCACGGUGACCUGCGUGGCCCUCAGCCCCUUUCCAGGGUGAGGUCCCUGUGGCCCCUUCACCCAGCACCAGCCCAGCACGCGGGGCACCCUGAGAUGUCAGUAGCAGCUGCAGGGGGCUAGGCCGGGCCUGCCUGCAGGGAGGGGGUCACCCAGGCCUGUCCCUGUGACCAGCCGCCCAGAGCCAAGGAGAUGAGGGGAAGCCCUGGCGCCCACCCCUCCCAGCUCUCAGCUCCAGGUGGCCGUGACCAAGACCCACCCUUGGUGGCCUUGCCAACAUGGCUGCUCUCCCCACCGUGCACAGAAGCUAGUGGGGGGUGGGGGGUGGGGUGGGGGGCUGCCUUCACAGCAGUGACCAGGGUCCUGGUGCCUGGGGGUGUGUACGUGGGGGCACAGCCAGGAAAGCUGCCCUCCGACACCGCGGAGCGUCAGCACCAGGCCUCUCUGGGGCGGGUUGGCUACCUCUAGAGGCACAGCUGCCCGGGAAUCUGGGUCCCUAUCCCCUCCCCAUGGAGGUCAAACCCUGUGCCUUUUGUGCACCCUGUCCUCACACUGCCCCCUGGAGGAGGGACUGGGGACGGAGCUCAUGGGCACCAAUGAUAGUGUGGCUCUUCCCCUGGCCAGCAGUCCAGUUUCUGUUCAAGGCGACAAGGGACAAACCUUGCCUAAUUGGCAAUUGCUUCUUUCUCUUACCACGCUGUGCCCCUUUGCUAGAUCCUUUCUUUCCCAGCCUCCUCUGCAGCUAGGAUCAGCCAUUGACCCAGUUAGGGAAAAUGAAAUGUAAGGGAAAAUCUGUGGGGAGCCUUCUGGGAGAGUUCUGCAUCUUCAUAAAAGGAAUGGGUGUGACAGGGAACUUUUCUCAGGUUGCUCUUCCCUUUUUUACAUGCUGGAAUGCAGACAUGAUGUCUGGUGCUGCAGCAGCCAUCUUGCAACCAUGCGAAUCUUAUUUAAUACUAAAGAUGAUGGGCAGAGAGAAUGAAAUAACUUGGGUCCUCGGUGACCACACCAAGCUUCCAAAUCAUCUUGAGACUGCCUAUGCCCAGGGUCCUAGCAGGUAAAUAAUGACUGUCUUUAUGGCUUAGUUAUAUUCUAUUAUUAUCAGUCGAACACACCAGAGAGACACUGAGGUGUGAUGAGCUUCCUGUGAGCAGAGGCACAGCACCAAGGGUCUCAGCCUUGGUGACCCUCGGCGGUUGCUGAAGAGUAGCAGAGGCCUUCACUCAUGGGCUGGCCUGGGGCUCUGCUCAGUAUAGAACAUGCCACUCGCCCUAGGAGAAAAGGAGGCCCCAUGUGUUAGUGUCCCCCACCAUCUGCAGCCCAUCUGCAGGGACAGAGUGUGGGAACGGAGCACCCUGCUCUAGGCCUCUCUGCUUGGCUCCAGGGAGGGGCGAGCUGUCCAGGACCCUCGGGUGUUCCACCUGACCCUAGGCAGAAGCCAGCUCCCAGAGGGCGUGCAGAGGAGGGUGAGAGGAGGUGGGUGCCUGUAGGUCCAGAGGGUCCUUUCUGGUCCCUGGGGAGCCCCGCUAAUGUGGGCGAUAAUUUCCACAAUCCUCACAGGGCUCUAUCCCUUUACAGGUUUUUUUUUUUUGGGGGGGAGGUAUGGGGGUUGAACCCAGGGUGCUUAACCCCUGAGCCACAUCCCCAGCCCUUUUAAAAUAUUUUAUUAGAGACAGAGUCUCGCUGAGUUGCUUAGGGCCUCACUAAGUUGCUGAGGCUGACUUUGAACUCGAGAUCCUCCUGCCUCAGCCUCCCCAGCCACUGGGACCACAGGUGUCACCACACCCGGCCACUCUUUACAGUUUUCAAGGCCGUCCACAGGCUCCAGCAGCUGGCCGGGCCCGGUGGAAGGAGUGAUGGGCGCCAAUCCUCAGGUGGGGAAAGGGAGAAGCCCCACGGGGCGCCCUGCAGCAGGCUGGGGACCCGGCCCAGGGAGCGGCAGGGUGAGAGGCUGCUGCUGGGUCACCCUGCACUCCAGCUUUCAGUCAGGUGGCUUUCAGUCCAGGGCAGAGGAAGUGUCCCCGUGGCCCCAGCCCUUGGCCCCAGCCCUUGGCCCCUGCCCAGCCGAGCUUCCCCUUCCUGAGCCCGCGGCCAGGACAGCCCGGCCGCCGAAGCCCUUCCUUAGUGGCCCCGGCUACCUUUAGACAAUUGUGCUGAAAACCUCAAAGCACAGGGGACACCAUGAGGCUCGUUGUCGUCGUGGUUUUCCACUUAGAAGGCAGCGGGGGUAAUGAGCGGAGCCCCCUCUCGCCCCUGGGGGAGCCUCCCUCAGUCUGUCCCUGCAGCUGCGGUGGCCUGGGCCUGUGGCUGCCCAGCGUAGGGUCCAGGGGCCCAGGGUACAGCCGGGGCACCUCCACCCCUGCCAGCCGGAGCUCCCCACAUACAGGUGGGGACCCCGAGGCCUUCUGCCCAUCCCAGGCCUCGCCUCAAACACACGCACGUAACCCGCAGGCACAGCGACACGUCUGCACCCACGAGGCCAUCGCUAUCCCUGAGACGCUGAGCACAGCCAUCAUUCCUCUGCCGCCCCUCAACGGCUCCUCUGUCCCCCAGCCCCGGCAACCCUCCUCUGCCGUCGCUGGGGAUGAGGUCACAGCUCCUGAGCGUCUCCAUCUCCCUGGAGAGGCGUCUGUGACUGUCACCCUUGUCUGAGGUCCGCCCACGUCCUUGCUGCACCAGAGGUCCACCCUUCCCGGGUGAGGGGCACCCCUCUGUCUGGUCCUUUGUUCCUGGUUGGGGGUGGCCCUGCUAUGGACACAGAUUCCUUCUCUCGGGGAUUCGUGUCUGACUUUCUAAGAGACCGACAAGCUCCUCCAGGGUGGCCGCACUGGGGUCAGUCCCCAGGACAGGUGUGCGGACUCCGGGGGCCCCGCCCGUGCUGGUCAUUCUGCCUGGUUGGACCAGGGCCGUGAGGGGCAUCGCUCUGUGGUUUGAAUGCAUUUCCCUUGUGACCGAUGAUGCUGGACGUUCUGUCAUGGACUCGGUGACCCAGAUCUCACAUUUCAAACUGAACUUGGAAUUUUGGAAUAAUUUCAAACUUUCUAGAAAGUUGUAGAGAUUCUAGUUCCCACAGACCCCUCCUUCAGUCCCCCUGAUAUUAGCCCCUUUAUCACAGAGGACUUUUGUCACCACGAAGGAACCCACCAUGUUCAUUACUAUUAGCUAGACUCCAGGUGUCCCUCUGGGGUCUCCAGGGUGUGAAGCUGAGGUGACCACCGCCCCCCUGCACGCUGCAUUGAGUUCUCAGAGUCCCCUGGUCAGUGCCAGUUCUUCGACUUCCCCCUGUUUUGGGGAGUAUUGGUCACAUAUUUUAUUUUAUCAUUUUAUUUUGCAACAGAGUCUUGCUAAGUUGCUGAGGCUGGCCUGGAACUUGCGAUCCCCCUGCCUCAGCCUCCCAAGUAGCUGGGAUUAGAGGCGUGAGCCGCUGCGCCCAACUCGGAUAUUUUGUCGUCAGUUCCUAGAUCUGGGUGGUUCGCUCUUCUCUCUGAUUGACAGGGGCUGUCACUGCGGCCAAACGCCCUGCUGUCGUGGCUCAUCAGGACCCAUGCCCCCAGCGCUGACCUCCAGCCUUGGUUCCCCUGGAGGGUCACAGGUCCCCUUCCACUCCCUUCUCUUUGGCUGUGAGUCACUAGAUCCAGCCGAGCCGAGCCCCGGAGAGGACGCUCUCGGAGCCUCCCUUUCUUCAAGAACCUUCUGCUGCAGACACUUUAGUAGACGUUUCACUUGAUUCCCGCCCCCCGCCCCCGCCACUGUCCAUCCCGGAAGAGCUCCCAAAUCUCUGCACUUGGCAAAGUCACAGCUGCAGCGGGUCCCCGGGAGCUUGGUCCAGCGCUUUCUCACACCUUCCACAGGUGGGGGGUCGGAGCCUGGCAGGCCACUCACUUCUGUCCUGGCCGGGAGGCAGUGCCCAGAGGCCUUCACCGGUUGAGGAGGGGACAAUGAGACAGCCCUGCGGGUCACCUGCUGCCUGCUGCUACCUGCACACCAGGCCCAGGCUCCCUGCCGUUGUCCUCCCCCCAUCCCCAGGCAGGGAACACGCCACACCCUGCAGGUCAGAGCCCAGAGGGGCAGGACAGUCUGACUCCUAACAAGGACAUGAGAAGUGCCAACAGAUCUUGCUGUCUCUGCAGGGAGGCCGGGACGGCCGAGGAACCAGAUGGGUCCUGGUGGAAGCAGGGUGGACUCCGGUGAGUGACCUCAUCACGGAGCCUCGGUUUUCCCGUCUGUAAAGUGGGGGUAGUCGUCUCAUCUCCCUUUUGUACCGUCUUCAAUUUCUUUGAUACACUUCAGCAAGGACAUGGCCACGUUGAGAGGAGGGACCUUCAGGAGAUGGCCCUGCGUGGUGCCCUUGUCAGGGGUGGGUCCCUCGGCUCCCUCGUCCUCUGCCCCUCUCCUGCUUCCCACCGUGGAGUGACGUGGCCGUCUCCAGACGCAGUGCCCCUCCCGCCACCCCAGCCCCAGAACCGUGAGCACCACAGGUCUGUCUGACGUCAUAGACCACCCUGGUGUGCUGUUAGGGCAGCGCAAAAUGGCAGAUGGCAGCGAUGCCCAGGGCUCUAACGUGCCUGGGUGCCAGAGAGCUGAGACCCUGGCCGGCCCGAGUGCGGGGCUGCCCCUGCGCCCGCUGGCUAAGGGUCGACCCGUCGGGGCUUCUGGCACUGGGCGCCGUCUGGCAGGUGGGCUUCUCUGGGGGCGCGGCCCCCACUGCUGGGCACAGAGCACAGGGCGGGUUCUAGCACUUCCUCCCUCCAGCCUGGCGCCGGUCAGCCAGCAGAUGACGUCACAGAGCCGUGGGGGUCAAAUGACGUAGGCACAAACAUGAGCAAGUGAACUAACGUUCCUCCUGGAAGUCCAUCCUGAGACGGGUGACUGGAGAUGCCAGGAGGGCAGCUCAGAGUGUGGCUCCUGGAGUCGGGUAACCUGGGGGCGAAUCCUACUAUAGUCAUGUCCAGCCUUGGGCAGGCACCUUCACCUUUGAGGAAUCCUGGAUUUCUCACCUGCACCUGCAUCUGCAAGGACAUUGAUGCCAUGAGGACUAGAGAAGUCAGGAUGUGUAGAACACUGUGCAAAAACUGCCUGGUGCAUAAUAAAUGCUCAAUAAAAUGCGAGCUAGCACAGAUCACCCCAGUGCCCGCGGUGUGAUGAGGUGAGGCAAGUUGGGGGGCUGGCGGUUGUUUGGGUUAAGCGAUCAGCAGCGUGGGUGAUGGGGGUUGUGCUGUCUUCAGAUUGCCCAGAAGAGUUUUAGUGUUCUUGACAGCUGCCCUUCUGACUGGGGGGAGGUGAAACCUUAGAGUGGUUUUGAUUUGCAUUUUUCUGAUUGCUAGAGAUGAUGAACAUUUUUCCCUAUAUUUUUUGAUCGCAUGUAUAUCUUCUUCUGAGAAGUGUGUGUUCAGCUCCUUGGCCCAUUUAUUGAUUGGGUUAUUUGUUUUUUUGGUGUUAAGUUUUUUGAGUUCUUUAUGUAUCCUGGAGAUUAGUGCUCUAUCUGACAUGCGUGUGACAAAAAUUUGCUCCCCAAAUGUAGGCUCUCUUUCACCUCAUUGAUUGUUUCUUUUUUUUUUAACUUUAGCCAAAAACCCUUUUAAUUAUAAGACAAAAAAAGAACUUAUCAUGACCUACUAUUCAUAUAUAUUGUGAAAUUAUGAUAUUACAAUAAUCAUCAAGGAAUCACGAUAUAAAUAAAAUCCCCAUAUGAAUACAUAUGUAUGUAAAAACUGUAUGCUUUAUUGCAAUAGCAAAGUCUAGAUAAAUCAAACCAUAACAAAAAUAAUCUCAGCAACUUAGCUAGGACCUUUCUCAAAAUACAUUUAGACCUACUGUUAGGGCUGUUUACCGGUGAUGAGUCCUUGCUUCCCCAAUGCUGAAGUAUAACACCAGAGAAGCACGCCGAGGCAAGUUUAGAGUGGAGAGUAGAAGCUUUAUUAAAGGACAGCAGAAAAGACUUCUCCCCAGAGGAAGAAGGGGACCCAAGAGGUGGGAUUUAUGGAAGGGUGAGAUCUUCCCUUUUUUUUUUUUUAACAUUUGAAUCAUUGGGGCAUAAUCUCUCAUUUUUCUAAUUGUACAGAUUGCAGAAUCACACUGGUCAUAGGAUUGUUUCUUUUUCUGAGAAGAAGCUUUUUAGUUUGAGUCCAUCCUAUUUAUUAAUUCUUGAUUUUAUUUCUUACUUUAGGAGUCUUGCUAAGGAAGUUGGGGCCAGUUGGGUGGCAGCUAUGAAGAAUAUAGACGACAAUCCAUAUUAGCAAGGAUGUGGGGGAAAGGCACUCUCAUAUGCUGCUGGUGGGCCUGCAAAUUGGUGCAGCCAAUAUGGAAAGCAGUAUGGAGAUUCCUUGGAAAACUUGGAAUGGAACCACCAUUUGACCCAGCUAUCUCUCUCCUCAGUCUCUACCCAAAGGACUUACAAACAGCAUACUACAGGGACACAGCCACAUCGAUGUUUACAGAGCUCAAUUAACAAUAGCCAAACUGUGGAACCAACCUAGAUGCCCUUCAGUAGAUGAAUGGACAAGGAAACCGUGGCAUAUAUACACAAUGGAAUAUUACUCAGCAUUAAAAGAGAAUAAAAUCAUGGCAUUUUCAGGUAAAUGGAUGGAGUUGGAGAAGAUCAUGCUAAGAGAACUUAGCCAAUCCCAAAAUACUAAAGGCCGAAUGUUCUCUCUGAAAAGUGAAUGGUGAUCCAUAACGGGGGGCGGGGGCAGGGAAGAUGGUGGAAUGAGAUGGAUAUGAUUGUC
rnacentral:lncRNA from 1 species